AUUAGAUACCCUGGUAGUCCACGCAGUAAACGAUGAAUACUAGCUGUCCGGGGCGAAUGAGCCCUGGGUGGCACAGCGAAAGCGUUAAGUAUUCCACCUGGGGAGUACGCCGGCAACGGUGAAACUCAAAGGAAUUGACGGGGGCCCGCACAAGCGGAGGAACAUGCGGUUUAAUUCGAUGAUACGCGAGGAACCUUACCCGGGCUUAAAUUGCACCUGAAUAAUGUGGAAACAUGUUAGCCGUAAGGCAGGUGUGAAGGUGCUGCAUGGUUGUCGUCAGCUUGUGCCGUGAGGUGUCGGCUUAAGUGCCAUAACGAGCGCAACCCUUAUCUUCAGUUACUAACAGGUCAUGCUGAGGACUCUGGAGAGACUGCCGUCGUAAGAUGUGAGGAAGGUGGGGAUGACGUCAAAUCAGCACGGCCCUUACGUCCGGGGCUACACACGUGUUACAAUGGGAGGUACAGAAGGCCGCUACCUGGCGACAGGAUGCCAAUCCCCAAAACCUCUCUCAGUUCGGAUCGAAGUCUGCAACCCGACUUCGUGAAGCUGGAUUCGCUAGUAAUCGCGCAUCAGCCAUGGCGCGGUGAAUACGUUCCCGGGCCUUGUACACACCGCCCGUCAAGCCAUGAAAGCCGGGGGUACCUGAAGUACGUAACCGCAAGAAUGGUCCUAGGGUAAAACUGGUAAUUGGGGCUAAGUCGUAACAAGGUACC
rnacentral:rRNA from 1 species